GGAAUAUUGGACAAUGGGGGCAACCCUGAUCCAGCCAUGCCGCGUGUGUGAAGAAGGCUUUUGGGUUGUAAAGCACUUUCAGCGGGGAGGAAGGCCUUGAGUUUAAUACGCUCAAGGAUUGACGUCACCCGCAGAAGAAGCACCGGCUAACUCCGUGCCAGCAGCCGCGGUAAUACGGAGGGUGCGAGCGUUAAUCGGAAUUACUGGGCGUAAAGCGCGCGUAGGUGGUUUGAUAAGCGAGAUGUGAAAGCCCCGGGCUCAACCUGGGAACGGCAUUUCGAACUGUCAGGCUAGAGUGUGGUAGAGGGGUGCGGAAUUUCCUGUGUAGCGGUGAAAUGCGUAGAUAUAGGAAGGAACACCAGUGGCGAAGGCGGCACCCUGGACCAACACUGACACUGAGGUGCGAAAGCGUGGGGAGCAAAC
rnacentral:rRNA from 1 species